UUGAAGAGGACUUGUAC
rnacentral:sRNA from 1 species